rnacentral:rRNA from 1 species
AGCAGCCGCGGUAAUUCCAGCUCCAAUAGCGUAUAUUAAAGUUGUUGCAGUUAAAAAGCUCGUAGUUGAAUUUCGGGGUCAGUAGGUUGGUCGUGCCACUGGUAUGCACUGGUCUCACUGAUUCCUCCUUCCUGAUGAACCGUAAUGCCAUUAAUUUGGUGUUGCGGGGAAUCUGGACUGUUACUUUGAAAAAAUUAGAGUGUUUAAAGCAGGCUAACGCUUGAAUACAUUAGCAUGGAAUAAUGAAAUAGGACGAUCGAUCCUAUUUUGUUGGUUUCUAGGAUUGACGUAAUGAUUAAUAGGGAUAGUUGGGGGCAUUAGUAUUCAAUUGUCAGAGGUGAAAUUCUUGGAUUUAUUGAAGACUAACUACUGCGAAAGCAUUUGCCAAGGAUGUUUUCAUUAAUCAAGAACGAAAGUUAGGGGAUCGAAGACGAUCAGAUACCGUCGUAGUCUUAACCAUAAACUAUGCCGACUAGGGAUCGGAUGAUGUUAAUUUUUAAUGACUCAUUCGGCGCCG